UACAGAGGGUGCGAGCGUUAAUCGGAAUUACUGGGCGUAAAGCGCGCGUAGGCGGCUUUGCAAGUCGGGUGUGAAAUCCCCAGGCUUAACCUGGGAACUGCAUUCGAGACUGCAUUGCUAGAGUAUGGGAGAGGGAAGUGGAAUUUCCGGUGUAAGCGGUGAAAUGCGUAGAUAAUCUGGAGGAACACCGGUGGCGAAGGCGGCAUCCUGGACCGGUAUUGACGCUGAGGCGA
rnacentral:rRNA from 1 species